CCUACGGGAGGCUGCAGUGGGGAAUAUUGGGCAAUGGGCGCAAGCCUGACCCAGCAACGCCGCGUGAAGGAAGAAGGCCCUCGGGUUGUAACCUUCUUUUAUUCGGGCCGAAACAAUUACCGGUCCCGAAUGAAUAAGCCCGGGCUACCUACGUGCCAGCAGCCGCGGUAUUCGGUAGGUGGCAAGCGUUAUCCGGAUUUACUGGGUGUAAAGGGCGUGUAGGCGGGAGAGCAAGUCAGACGUGAAAUUCCAGGGCUCAACCCUGGAACUGCGUUUGAAACUGUUUUUCUUGAGUGAUGGAGAGGCAGGCGGAAUUCCGUGUGUAGCGGUGAAAUGCGUAGAUAUACGGAGGAACACCAGUGGCGAAGGCGGCCUGCUGGACAUUAACUGACGCUGAGGCGCGAAAGCGUGGGGAGCAAACAGGAUUAGAUACCCCUGUAGUC
rnacentral:rRNA from 1 species